rnacentral:tRNA from 1 species
GCGCCCGUAGCUCAGCUGGAUAGAGUACCUGGCUUCGAACCAGGUGGUCGGAGGUUCGAACCCUUCCGGGCGCGCCA